CUUACCAGGGCUUGACAUCCCGCGAACCCUCCUGAAAGGGAGGGGUGCCUUCGGGAGCGCGGAGACAGGUGCUGCAUGGUUGUCGUCAGCUCGUGUCGUGAGAUGUUGGGUUAAGUCCCGCAACGAGCGCAACCCCUGUCCUUUGUUGCCAGCGGUUUGGCCGGGCACUCUAAGGAGACUGCCGGAGACGAUCCGGAGGAAGGUGGGGAUGACGUCAAAUCCUCAUGGCCCUUAUGUCCUGGGCGACACACGUGCUACAAUGGCCUGCACAAAGGGCUGCGAUGCCGCGAGGCAAAGCCAAUCCCCAAAAGCAGGUCCCAGUUCGGAUUGAAGGCUGAAACCCGCCUUCAUGAAGCCGGAAUUGCUAGUAAUCGCGGAUCAGCCAUGCCGCGGUGAAUACGUUCCC
rnacentral:rRNA from 1 species